UUGACAUCCAGAGAAUUUAGCGGAGAUGCUUUAGUGCCUUCGGGAACUCUGAGACAGGUGCUGCAUGGCUGUCGUCAGCUCGUGUUGUGAAAUGUUGGGUUAAGUCCCGNAACGAGCGCAACCCUUAUCCUUUGUUGCCAGCACGUAAUGGUGGGAACUCAAAGGAGACUGCCGGUGAUAAACCGGAGGAAGGUGGGGAUGACGUCAAGUCAUCAUGGCCCUUACGAGUAGGGCUACACACGUGCUACAAUGGCGCAUACAAAGAGAAGCGACCUCGCGAGAGCAAGCGGACCUCAUAAAGUGCGUCGUAGUCCGGAUUGGAGUCUGCAACUCGACUCCAUGAAGUCGGAAUCGCUAGUAAUCGUAAAUCAGAAUGUUACGGUGAAUACGUUCCCGGGCCUUGUACACACCGCCCGUCACACCAUGGGAGUGGGUUGCAAAAGAAGUAGAUAGCUUAACCUUCGGGAGGGCGUUUACCACUUUGUGAUUCAUGACUGGGGUGAAGUCGUAACAAGGUAAGCGUAGUGCU
rnacentral:rRNA from 1 species